rnacentral:rRNA from 1 species
CUGACAAUUUGACCUCAAAUCAGGUAGGACUACCCGCUGAACUUAAGCAUAUCAAUAAGCGGAGGA